CACACAACCAUAGAUAGCUAAAACGUUUCUGAAAUGAUUUCCAUCUUCUGUUAUUGUUUGUAAUGAGAAGUUUAUUAUUUUAUGGAUUUCACAAAUUUAGGUUUGACACGUUAUGCUUAAACGUUAAAUCUGAGCAUGCGCGACUCACAUCGGGGAGUGACACUGAUGAUUAGACUGUCAACCAACAAUUAAUGAAUAACUCUAAUUAAGGCCAAAAAAACGAUUCGGUUGGAAUUGUAUUAUUUCAAACCGUUCCACCAUGCCCAAACGCACUGCUCACCCCAAACGCCACUGCUGCUGUCUGCUGUCACUUUGUUCCUGCGGACAUCUCCGGACCGCCGCCACGUCUCCCAAUUUAUUCUCUCCGACAGUAUUCACAAAGACUCUUUUAAUAGUUCCCUGUCUUGCAUAGUUAUGUAUUUUUGUACUCUUAUUACGGCACAGCAUUUUUAAAAGCAACACUUUGAAACUGUGGAUUGAUGGCCAAGAAAAGACACCUUUAGAUAUCAUAGCCUUUGUCACACGUGUCGAAUCUCUUCUAUUUAUUUGUACGUCAACGAGAAAAGUCACAUGUUCAGGUUCUCUCUCACUGUGCGUCCUGCUCAUCUCUCUCAUCCAGAUAUUCAGUCUGUUUGUUUUUUUGGCAGAAUAAUUUACUCAUCUUAUUCCAUAACUUUGAAUCAAGCUCUCCACCAGUGCCAAGACAUUUAGUCACUUAAUUGAAUCAUAAUUUUACAGGAAAUGAGUCACAGCAGGUGACAUGGUCUAAAGUGAUUGAAUUUAAAACAUUGUUUAUUUUUUGGCUGCUUUCAUUUUCUGGUUAAUUGAAUGUUUGUCAUUUGAAAAUGACGGUGGACAUUUUUUCACUGUUUUUCUGACUAUUAUUAACUAUUAUUGUGUCAUGUGUGCAAACAUCUGUGGACAAAAACAACCUUGACUUAAAGUCCACUCACUCACUUGUUCUAGUGCUUUUGACCGCAGGUCAGGGUCUUCAUCGGACGCUGUAGAUGUCUCUCUGUUAUCGCCAGGUCAGGUCAGGGUCUUCAUCGGACGCUGUAGAUGUCUCUCUGUGAUCGCCAGGUCGGGUCAGGGUCUUCACCGGACUCUGUAGAUGUCUCUCUGUGAUCGCCAGGUCGGGUCAGGGUCUUCAUCGGACUCCGUAGAUGUCUCUCUGUGAUCGCCAGGUCAGGUUUAUUGGUACCAGUAGGUAUACUGGGCAAGGCAGCACAUUUCAGCAACAGGGCAGUUGAAAGUGCUUUACA